rnacentral:tRNA from 12 species
AAAAUCCGUCGAUGUUAAAAAUCGUGAGGGUUCAAGUCCCUCUAUCCCCA